CAAGCUUGUGCAUUCAGCCAUGCUCUGUGUUGGGUUGCAUGCCCCCAGGUGGUGUUUGACCUGUCCCUCGCCCGCGGGCUGGAUUACUACACCGGUGUGAUCUACGAGGCCAUCCUGACCCAGGCAGGUGUGGCCCCAGUCCUUGCCCCUCAGGAGGCCAAUGGCAGCGAGGGAGACGAAGGGCCCGUCAGCGUGGGCAGGGGCCAGUCGCUACGACGGCCUGGUCAGGAUGUUCGACCCCAAGAGCCGGAAGGUUCCGUGCGUGGGCGUCAGCAUUGGCAUUGAGAGGAUGUUCUCCAGAAGCAGAAGGCGGAGGUGAGAGAGCCGAGAAGAGGUCAGCUCCUUCGCAACCUUUUAACCCCUACUGAAGUGACCCCAGUUAGAUAUACAGGAAGAACAGACACCCUACCAUCUGCACCAGCUGGUUCUGGAGGGCCUGCCGGGUGGCCUGGAGCGGCCCGCCCUGAUGGCGGUGCAGGAGGCCCCAGCAGGAGAGGCAGACCACGGCGCUGGCCACCUACUCCAGCCAUCACACCGCGUCCAUGGUCAAGAAGGUGGUGGUGCAAGCCUUUAAGAAGCAGUUUGGAGUUGCCUUGACCGUGAGCUGGAUGUCCUCCUCUGCACUGCCGACCAGUCCCGACAGGUUCUCCCUCAGCUCAUUGAAAUGCAACCCCAGGAGCGCCUUAUUUAGAUUUCAACUGCCUACCAUCUGAGAACAAAUCUCCUACCAAACCGCCGCACCUGUCUCUCCCAAGCCUGCCCCUACCUCCCCAGACCCCGGUCCCACCCAGGUACAACCCGCCCCUCCCCAACCGGCCCCCAGUGUUGUUCCCAAACCUGUCUCCCUUGCCACAAGGCCUCCUCCCGCCGUCCCUCCCCCUCAUCCAGAGCUUCCCUCCGCCGUUGGGAGUCGGGCGGAUUUUGGGGGCGUAGCGGGCCUGCAGGAGGGGGGGCCCACGGAGGCCCUGCAGUCAGGGGGCAACCCUGUGUUCUUCCUGCGCUGGCUGUGUGACACCAUGGGUCUGGGUUUUGAAUUUGAUGAUUAAAAAGGCAAGACUACAAGUCAUGC